rfam:Glycine max cultivar Williams 82 chromosome 18, whole genome shotgun sequence.
UUCUUAUUGGAUUAUGACUGUCACGUGUCAUGUUCUAAUUGACCAAUGACAACAAUAAUGUAUUUCAUCUUCAUCCAAUCAGAAUAUGACAUGUGGCAGUCAUCAUCA